rnacentral:rRNA from 1 species
GAUGAACGCUGGCGGCGUGCCUAAUACAUGCAAGUCGAGCGAACAGAUAAGGAGCUUGCUCCUUUGACGUUAGCGGCGGACGGGUGAGUAACACGUGGGUAACCUACCUAUAAGACUGGGAUAACUUCGGGAAACCGGAGCUAAUACCGGAUAAUAUUUCGAACCGCAUGGUUCGAUAGUGAAAGAUGGUUUUGCUAUCACUUAUAGAUGGACCCGCGCCGUAUUAGCUAGUUGGUAAGGUAACGGCUUACCAGGGCGACGAUACGUAGCCGACCUGAGAGGGUGAUCGGCCACACUGGACCUGAGACACGGUCCAGACUCCUACGGGAGGCAGCAGUAGGGAAUCUUCCGCAAUGGGCGAAAGCCUGACGGAGCCACGCCGCGUGAGUGAUGAAGGUCUUCGGAUCGUAAAACUCUGUUAUUAGGGAAGAACAUACGUGUAGGUAACUGUGCACGUCUUGACGGUACCUAAUCAGAAAGCCACGGCUAACUACGU